GCUACUCAAGUUAUUAAUUAGUCAUACUCUUUUAAAAUAAGUUUCAUUAGAUAGAUAGAAACAACAUCUUUGUUUAGACGAAAGCCAAACGCUCUUGGUCUAAUGUUUACAGUAUUAAUCGAGAGCUCUUGGUCUAGUGGUGAUGGAACUCCAGCUGGAGUGUCCGCUUUGGGUUCGAGUCGCCUUAACCACCUUCCCGCAUAUAACCGUGUGUGUCCGGAUGAAAGGCCUCGUGAGGAUUAGUCCGAGCUUACCGUAUGGAUUCUCAACGGUCGUCGGAAAAAAAAAGCCUUUUCAAAAAAUAAAAAAUAAAUCUUUGUUUAGAAAAUGUCGAUAUGAUUAAUUAUAUAUACUACUAAAAUUGCAAGGACAUGGGGUACGUCUAAUAGAGUCAUCAGAUCAUUCUUUCGUCAUUAAAUCAUGUGUGGGGAGUGGUCAUCGGUUACUUUUCUUUUGUAUUUGGUAUUUUAUUGACGUGCAGAAUCCGUGACGGGAAGCUGCUCAACUAAAUUCAAAAAUAGCAAUGAAACACACACUAGUAAUUAAUUAAUCAUCGAAUAUACUAUGACCGACGUAACUAAAUUCAAAAAUCCCAAUGAAACACACACUAGUAAUUAAUUAAUCAUCGAAUAUACUAUGACCGACGUAACUAAAUUCAAAAAUCCCAAUGAAACACACACUAGUAAUUAAUUAAUCAUCGAAUAUACUAUGACCGACGUAACUCGUUGUUCUAGUGGUCCAUUUAUUACGUACAGCGAAACUUCUUUCGUAGUCCGACCCUAUAAAUACGUUUGUCUGUAAUGUAAUGUUUUGUUUUCUUUCAAGCGGAUAUAACUGUUCCUUUCAUAGGUAAAAUUGGGCUAUCUGGAUCAUAAUUAAGUUUAGAAUAAUUAUAAGGGACAAUUUGAAAAAUAACCUAUUAAUAGUUUCAAAUUUGAAAAUUGUACUUUCUGUUUUAGUUUUUGAAAACUACACUAAAUUAAAUGUGAAAAAACAUUUUCGUCCAUAAUAAAUAUUUGAAUAAAUAAAAUAUAAAUUCAAAAUUAAUGACAUCAUUAUUAUUAAAAUAUUUAUGUUUAAGAUUAAUCAAUGUUGAAGUAAAUGUGUUAUUUUACUAUUUAGAAUUUUAAAAUAACAAUGAUACUAUGGAAAAACAAUUAUGAAGUCUUUGUAAUUUUAUCAAAAAGUUUAUAUGUAUGCUUUUUAACAUUCAAAAACCUUAUAUAAAAAGAUUGCCCUACACCAUCAUUCUUGUACAAAAGAAAAGUAACACCCUGCAAACAUUUCAUUCUUAUGACAGGUAUUCUCUAUCAAGAAGUCUUUAAAUUAGUAAGAGAAAAUGAGGUUUACAAAAUCGAAUUACAAUCAAGGAUAUGAGUGAAGAAUUAACAAACCUGAGACUAUGAAAACAAGAGAAAAGAAAAAUGUUUUGUAGAAAAAGAAAAUAAAAGAUUACGAAGAAGAAGAUGCAGGAGACGACACUUGUCCUCUUUUCCUCUUUUUUCUCUUUUCUUCUUUUUAAAAAACAUAAUAUUUUAAGAUAUAUCCAAAAGAUACUGUGUAGAUAUUAUUAAAAUUCAAAAAAAUUCUUGUUGAAACUGUUAAUUUAAAUAUUAAAUAAAUUAUGCUAAUUAAAGUUUUUGAUAAUAAUAUUGAAUAUUUAGAUUGGACAAUUUAGUAAAUUUACAUAUAUCAAAGUGUAUUUUUCAAAAACCUUAAAUAUUGGUGUAGUUUUCAAAUUAGUAUUUCUCCAAAUUUUCCCUAAUUGUAAUAAGUUUUUUUUUUUAAAAAAGAAUAAUUAUAAUAAGUUCAGAAUGUCAGGUGAGUAACACCGUCCCGGGCAAAGUGGUAGGCCGUAAUAUUUUUAAGCAGAUACACACAUCGCUGAUCUUAUAUGGUUUACAACUACAGUUCAGUAGAAUACUUACUAUCAAUAGGCAUUAACCAUAUAGAUGUUGCAUAGUCUAAUUUGACAUCACUAUGAGUCAAUAUAAUGGUUACAAGAAUCUAUUUCUAACCUUUACGAUUCAACUCCUAGUUUUUUUUUUUUUUUUUUUGUAACACUGAUUCAACUCCUAGUUAUAUGAACCAAUUGGUGGUAGAAUAGUGUCAAAGAUUGAUUUAGGACAAGGAAAACAAAGUUAAUGAUACUUGACCAUAUAAGAAAAUGAAAAAAUGUUUUUGGCCUCAUCCGAAAACAAGAAAUCUAGUUAUAGUUGUCGGUAUUUCCAUUUAGGAGAUUAGUUGGGUUUCGUUUUAGAUACCUCCAGUUAAUCCAAAAUAAUUUCCUAACGUAGACUAAGUUAUUGUAAGCAAUAACAGAGUAACCAAUGCACCAAUCAUAGAAUAAUAGUUUAAACGAUGGCUAUAGAAAAAUGUAAUGAACGGUCAAGUCUUAUGAUAUGUAAUUCAAAUGUGAGAUACUAGGCCGAUUGCUUGUUUUUUGCAAUCAUCUCAUCUUUCAACUAGACAAUAAAAAAUUAUAGUAUAAUGUAUUUUAAUUCUUUUUAAAAAUCUACCAAUGCGCCGGGAUUGAGAUCCUAUAAAGACUAUCUAGAACCUUUCUCCGCUCUACGCGCGGAGAAUAUAUUUAAAUUUGUUUCAUUAUCAUUGUUAACUUAAAUUAACUAAUUUUAAAAUUUGUUUUUAAUUUUUUUUAGUUUGAAGUAACUAUUUCUAUUAUGGUAACACGAUUAACUAAUAAAAUAUGAAGAACCAAGUCCGAGAUUUUAGAGUUCUGCAGAAAAUAUAAUUAUAUAUAGAACAUAAAUGCUCUUAUUUUAAAAGAUCAGAAUCUCGUCUCAAAUAAAUUCACGAAAAUAAACAGUACUCCAAUAACCUACUUAAAAUAUAAAACCCUCUUUUCAAAAUAAGCGUACGUAAUCUUAUUUUUUACGUUUGUAAUAGAUGAAAACUGAUAAUUGAAAUUAUAUGUUUUAAGUUUUCAAAUUUAAAAUAAAAAUAGUUUCAAUUUGUAAAAUAUAAUGAAACAAAUUCAAAAUAAUUCGAAAAAUAUUCAUGAAGUAGCUAUUUACAAAAGUUUGAUCAAAUUUUGUAAAUCAGUGUAUAUAUAUUUUUUUAUCCAAGUAACUUUUUAAAUUCACAAAAUCUACACAAUUUUAUCUCUCAGUAACCCUCAUCUUUAUAGUAGACUUUAGUCACUCUAAUCAUGCUUUCUUGUUCACUAACACAUAGACAUCACCUAUGUCUUUUAAUUUAUUCUCUAUAUAUUUAAAUUGCUUAGCAAAGAUUGAAAGACAGAAGUUGAGUUUUAGAUUUUAUAUAGAAGUAGAUCUAAAGAAAAAAAAUGAUAAAAUAGUUUAAAAUGUAAAUAAAUCUAGGUAUCAAAUCAUGUGAGAAAGAGAAUAACAAUCCGAAUGAUGCAUCGUUUGACCACCCUCCUAACCAGCUGCCUCCGCCACUGAUUUCAGCCAUGUUAUGCUCCGGUUACGACAGUUCACUUAUCUCAGUUAUGACUACGCGCAGAUUUUUUUAUCAUAAAUGUUUAGAAUGAUGUUGCAUGAUCUCUUAUUCGCCUUUUGAAAUGCUUUAUGUAAUCAAUCGAUUUGUUGAAGUGGAAAUUUGUUGCUGGUGAUGAACGGAGUAGUAGUUUGCUUAGAAAAUACUAGAUAUUAUUGUUAUGUUGAUAAAAAAAAAUUAGUUCUGUAUUAUUUUUGAUGUGUUUAGUAAAACUAUUUACCUCGCAAAAGUUUAGGAAUUAUGCUUGUGAUGAUGACAACUUUAAAUUUCCUAUUCUUCUUGUUUUGUAGGAUGCUAAAAUCUGAUGCUUGCUUGUCGCACAGUAUGAGUUUAACAAUUGUCGACCUGAGAUAGAGAUUUAUGUAUGAAGAUAAUUAUUAUUUCGUUUUUAAUUAUUUUGUUAGACUGACCUGUUCAGCCGUAUACCAAUCGUGGCAUCAAUAUUGAGUUCCGGGUGGUCCAGUUUUAUUUUUUGUAUUAUGACUAUCUGCCCGACGACAUCUGCAUAUUGAUUUUAGAAUAAACAUCCAUGUUUGUUUAAUUAAUACUGGAAUGACUUACUUACCUGGUAAGUAUGUGGGUAUAGUGGCUAAGCGCAGUAGAUUUCCGUAAUUCUGAGGAGAUAAAUUGUGAACUGGAAAUAUCGGACCGAUCUCUGUAACGUUCAAUAUUAUUGUCUUUUGGUCGAUCUGAUUGUAAUACGGCAGUUGGGUGAGUUUCCGAAGUCGUGAAUUAUGUAUGACAGAAAAUCCUGAAAACUCAUAUAUAUAUCCUUCAGUUAAGUUUUUUGAAUCAUUCAGCUGAAUGUUUCCGGUGAGACGGCCUUCAAAUAAUUGUCCCUGGAUGUGAACAAAUUUUAUUUUGCCGAACCAAUUAAGUAAAUACUGAGUAGUUUAAAUCAAAUAUGGUGGAUUGGAAAUACAUAUAUGUAUAUGUAUAUGUUAAUAAAAGGCUUACGUGGUGGUCGUAGCACAGGAAGCCGAUGCAAAUUUGAGAAUUGUCUGUUUGGUGUUUUCUUAUGUCCCAAACAUUUUUUUAUACAUACUGUGAUAGGACGCACUGAAAUCAUUUCCUGAAGUUGGUGGAUUCUUUGAGGAAUGUGUUGCAUGUAAGAUGUAACUAUAAAACAUGUGAUUUUAAUUAAGGCUGAACUUCAAAGCUCUGAUUGUAAUAAAUGAUUACAUUCAAACAAAUUUUAUUUACUACCAAAACCAAUACAUGGAUUUUAUUUUAUCUGAAUGAUAUGGCACUUCCAAUUGGCUUUUUUCCAUUGUCUUGACUAAUUAGGUAUUUUAAUAAUAUGAAUAAUGCUUAAAGCAGCGGGUAAUGAAUAAUUUAAAACAAUAUCAUUAAUCUAUAUCGUUGGAACUAAUAUUAGAUUUUAAGUAAAUAAAAAUAUGACCAUUGAGGAAUAGGCUGUAGCCCUGGGACGGAUCCGGAUAUCCGGGAAAUUUAGGGUAUCCGGAUUCGGAUCCGGAUCCGUCGGAUCCGUGGAUUUAAUAUCCGGAUCCGGAUUCGUGGUUUCCGGAUAUCCGGGCUUCGGAUAUCCGUCUCGAUAUUCUAUUAUCCGCGGAUAUCCGGAUCCGGAUCCGGAUCCGUCAAAAUAAUUAAAAAUAAUUUUUUAACAAAAAAUAUUAAUUUUUUAACAAAAAAUAUUAAUUUUUUUUAACAAAAAAUACUAAUUUUUUUUAACAAAAAAUACUAAUUUUUUUUAAUAUAAUACAUAAAUUAAAUAUUUAUAAUAUUGUAAAACUAAAAUAUAAUAUUAUAAGAUUAAUUCAUGUAUAAAUAUUAAUAUAUCAAAUAUAAAUAUUAAUAAAAUUUAAAAAUCUAAUGUAUUUUAAAAAUACGGAUCCGGAUCCGGAUAUCCGGACCUAAAAAUUACGAUAUCCGGAUCCGGAUUCGGUUUGCACGGAUCCAAGAUUUUACUAUCCGGAUUCGGAUCCGGGCACCCCGGAUAUCCUAUUUUCGGAGCGGAUCCGGAGCGGAUCUCGGAUCGAAUCCGGAUCUCGGAUAAUAAGUCCCAGGCCUAAUAGGCUGUGCUAUUAGCAUUUGAAAAUAUAUAUAACAGUUUAGCAUUAUUAUUAUUUAUACAAUGGUGUAGUUAUACAUAUCACCACCUAUUUCAGCCAUUAGAUCUGCGAUUAGAUAUUUUGGUGUUAUAGGAUAAAGUUUGAUUAUGAUGCGUUUUGUUUGAUAAAUACUUAUUAUUAUAAAAAAUUUAUGGUUUUCUGAAACAAUAUGAACGGUGUGAUUGGUUUCAAUUUGUAACAUACAUGGUCUGUGGAAUCGAUGUGCCAGAAAUCACUAUUGCAUAAUUCACAAAAAAAAACAAUUUUAACAGAUAUAAUCUAUGGUAUAUAGGGGAUUCAUUCGCAAGUAUCACAGAAAAGAAUCAUGAAUUAACGUAAAAAUGGUGUCCAAAUUUUAUAACCAUUGACUUGAACCAUGUAGUAAUUUCCUCCAUAUUUUUAAUAUUUGAGAAUUGGCUAAGCGAAGGUUUACGCAGCAGAUGCUCUCUUUAAUUAGAUGAAGAUUAGAGUAUAUAGUGCAUGGCAAUAACAAAUGGGUAAGUUUGGGUGUAGGAAAUUAUAGAUUAGCAUUAACAGUUUAUAAAUGAUUUUUUGAACAGUUUAGCUGUAUAUAGUAUAAGAUCGUUUUCAAAGUUAUUCAGUGAAGACGAUGAUCUUGUGUUUGUUUUGUAUUGUUAGCUCAAUGAAUCAAGUGUAAAUUAUGGUCGUUAUCAACUAUAUACAUUUUAAUGUGUAUAUUAUCAUUGUAGUUAUAAGAAAAGUGCAUACGUAAUUGGCGACUCAUGUAUUGGUUAUGUUUUCUCAUAAUGAAAGUAUUUAUGUAUUAAACAAAAUUGUCAAUAUUACAUAGAAACGUAAGGUUUACGUUUUUUCAUAAAGUUACGAUCGGAUCGGUUAAUAGGAACAAUGUGCGGUUAUGGUUUACGUGAUUGAUACGUUAGAUAUGCAAGCAGCUUUGUAAGCAGUCUGAUUAGCUAAAUAAGAGUCUGCUUAACGUAAACAAUAAUUAAAUUACAUAUUUAUCAUGUGUAAAAAUACAUAAUUAUAUAACUUUAAAAUUUUACAAAUUAUCUAACACUUAAAAAUAAAGAUUUGUGUUACCUGUAAUUUGGACAGGAGGGUUAGGAGGUGGGUUCUCCAUUCUGUCGAUCUUGUGAUCCUUAGGCUCAAUCUGUUCAUAAAUCAGUAAUUAGGAAUAUGUAUAGAAAUUUGUUGACUUAUUGUACAUUCUUACACCUACACUUUGGAGGCUUUUGGGGUAUUGACUUGAUAUGAGCUUAAUUGUCGGUUCCAAUGGUGAAGGUAAGAGAGAAUAAUUAAU
rnacentral:lncRNA from 1 species